rnacentral:rRNA from 1 species
AGAUUGAACGCUAGCGGCAUGCCUAACACAUGCAAGUCGAACGGUAACAGGCCCUUCGGGGUGCUGACGAGUGGCGGACGGGUGAGUAAUGCGUAGGAAUCUACCCACGAGUGGGGGAUAGCCCGGAGAAAUCCGGAUUAAUACCGCAUAAGUCCUACGGGGGAAAGCGGGGAUCGAAAGACCUCGCGCCGGUGGAUGAGCCGAAGCCGGAUUAGCUAGUUGGUAGGGUAAUGGCCUACCAAGGCGACGAUCCGUAGCUGGUCUGAGAGGACGACCAGCCACACUGGGACUGAGACACGGCCCAGACUCCUACGGGAGGCAGC